rnacentral:tRNA from 1 species
GGGAUUGUAGCUCAGUGGUAGAGGACUUGCCUAGCAUGCAUGAGGCACUGGGUUUGAUUCUCAGCACCA